GACGAACGCUGGCGGCGUGCUUAACACAUGCAAGUCGAACGGUGAAGCCCCUUCGGGGGUGGAUCAGUGGCGAACGGGUGAGUAACACGUGAGCAACCUGCCCCUGACUCUGGGAUAACUUCGGGAAACCGGAGCUAAUACUGGAUAUGACGCUCUCACGCAUGUGGGGGUGUGGAAAGUUUUUCCGGUUGGGGAUGGGCUCGCGGCCUAUCAGCUUGUUGGUGGGGUGAUGGCCUACCAAGGCGACGACGGGUAGCCGGCCUGAGAGGGCGACCGGCCACACUGGGACUGAGACACGGCCCAGACUCCUACGGGAGGCAGCAGUGGGGAAUAUUGCGCAAUGGGCGAAAGCCUGACGCAGCGACGCCGCGUGAGGGAUGAAGGCCUUCGGGUUGUAAACCUCUUUCAGCGCCGAAGAAGCGAAAGUGACGGUAGGCGCAGAAGAAGCACCGGCUAACUACGUGCCAGCAGCCGCGGUAAGAC
rnacentral:rRNA from 1 species